rnacentral:rRNA from 1 species
UACGAAGGGGGCUAGCGUUGCUCGGAAUUACUGGGCGUAAAGGGUGCGUAGGCGGGUCUUUAAGUCAGGGGUGAAAUCCUGGAGCUCAACUCCAGAACUGCCUUUGAUACUGGGAAUCUCGAGUCCGGGAGAGGUGAGUGGAACUGCGAGUGUAGAGGUGAAAUUCGUAGAUAUUCGCAAGAACACCAGUGGCGAAGGCGGCUCACUGGCCCGGUACUGACGCUGAGGUGCGAAAGCGUGGGGAGCAAACAGGG